AACGAACGCUGGCGGCGUGCUUAACACAUGCAAGUCGAACGCGAAAGGGACUUCGGUCCUGAGUAAAGUGGCGCACGGGUGAGUAACGCGUAGAUAACCUGUCUUCACGUCUGGAAUAAUACGCCGAAAGGGGUACUAAUACCGGAUAUUCUUGCUUUUCAUAAGUUUUGCAAGGAAAGGUGGCCUCUGAAUAUGCUACUGCGCGAAGAGGGGUCUGCGUACCAUUAGCUAGUAGGUGGGGUAAUGGCCUACCUAGGCUACGAUGGUUAGUGGGGCUGAGAGGAUGAUCCGCCACACUGGCACUGGAACACGGGCCAGACUCCUACGGGAGGCAGCAGUGAGGAAUAUUGCGCAAUGGGGGAAACCCUGACGCAGCGACGCCGCGUGAGUGAGGAAGGCCUUCGGGUCGUAAAGCUCUGUCAAAGGGAAAGAAGUGCAUGAUGGCUAAUACCUGUCAUGUUUGACGGUACCCUUAAAGGAAGCACCGGCUAACUCCGUGCCAGCAGCCGCGGUAAUAC
rnacentral:rRNA from 1 species